rnacentral:rRNA from 1 species
GAUGAACGCUCGCGGCGUGCCUAAUACAUGCAAGUCGAGCGAACGGACGAGAAGCUUGCUUCUCUGAUGUUAGCGGCGGACGGGUGAGUAACACGUGGAUAACCUACCUAUAAGACUGGGAUAACUUCGGGAAACCGGAGCUAAUACCGGAUAAUAUUUUGAACCGCAUGGUUCAAAAGUGAAAGACGGUCUUGCUGUCCCUUAUAGAUGGAUCCGCGCUGCAUUAGCUAGUUGGUAAGGUAACGGCUUACCAAGGCAACGAUGCAUAGCCGACCUGAGAGGGUGAUCGGCCACACUGGAACUGGGACACGGUCCAGACUCCUACGGGAGGCAGCAGUAGGGAAUCUUCCGCAGUGGGCGAAAGCCUGACGGAGCAACGCCGCGUGAGUGAUGAAGGUCUUCGGAUCGUAAAACUCUGUUAUUAGGGAAGAACAUAUGUGUAAGUAACUGUGCACAUCUUGACGGUACCUAAUCAGAAAGCCACGGCUAACUACGUG